AGAGCACAAUUGAUCGUGAACCCAAUGCCAAAGGUUUCUGCAGAACCACUGCCAAAGCCCAGUAAAAUUUGCCCAUCGGUUGGAGCCAGUGGUCAGGAAGCCAGUAAACUUUACUGGGAGCAUUCACACUUGCCUUGGUUGAAGGAAAAUUUUUAUUGUUAAGUUUCUCGAGAAUAAUUUCUUUUAUGCGACUUCUAAACGAGGAAUCGUGAUACGGAAAUUCUAGAGAGAGUAAACCUAGAUUGGUGAUUCGAAUGGUAAUGGCGGUUCAAAAUGAAAGCAUUCUUGACUUGGAUCGGGACUAAAAACCGUUGAUGGAAUGCCCAAAGGAAGAACAGACAGCUGAAGGCGGAACAUGCAAAUAUUGCCUAACAACAAUAUUUAAGCUUCCCACCAUCAAUCGAUUCAUAAUGUCACCAGGUGCACCACUAUCACCAUGGCAUCAUCAACAGCAGCAACAGUAGAUCUCUGGCGGAUGGAGAAUGUUCAACAUUCUGGGUCAUCUGGUAGAAUCGAACACGACGAAACAGCGACCAUCAGUAAUGAAGUGAGAAUAUUGUUUUUUUUUGUUUUUGCAAAAAGAAAUUCUUAAUAAUGGAUUUAUUUUAAUUUCAGAUUUAUUUAAAACUCUGGAUACUCCAUAACAAACGCCGAUGAACGAAGCGAAACCACUGCUAGGAGUGUACAAUAGUCAUCAAACGCAGCAAGAAAUCUACUUCCAACUGAAUCGAGAAGUUGGGCAAUUGACAACAGGAGCCGAAAACCAUUCCAUCGAUACAGCGGGAAUACUACCUUGGCAUUAUUUACUGGAACUGUUUCUAUAGGAUCCGAAACUGUAUUGUAGUUUUGAAAAUUCAGUAGCUUUCUCUGCUCGAAUGCUGCCUUGACUAUUCUGGGCAUUCCGGGUGGGAAUAGUACUCCGAUGAGUCUCAGAAAAGCAAGCUGAAGAAUCACUAUAAAAUUUAUCAAUUUUAGACAAGCUGCUGGAAGAUUUUAGUUAUUCACUAAGGAUCUGAAUUAAUGACGAUAUUUUUUUUCAAUUCAGGUUUUUUUAAUUCUAAAAUUUAUAAUUUAUUGUAUACAUUUUCUGUAAACAAAUUAAAAUUGAAACAAUAGUUCAAUAAACAAUAUUAUCUCUACAUGAA